rnacentral:rRNA from 1 species
UACGGAGGGUGCAAGCGUUAUCCGGAUUCACUGGGUUUAAAGGGUGCGUAGGUGGGCAUGUAAGUCAGUGGUGAAAUCUCUGAGCUUAACUCAGAAACUGCCAUUGAUACUAUGUUUCUUGAAUUUUCUGGAGGUCAGCGGAAUAUGUCAUGUAGCGGUGAAAUGCUUAGAUAUGACAUAGAACACCAAUUGCGAAGGCAGCUGGCUACAGGGAUAUUGACACUGAGGCACGAAAGCGUGGGGAUCAAACAGG